rnacentral:rRNA from 1 species
UACGGGGGGGGCAAGCGUUGUUCGGAAUUACUGGGCGUAAAGGGCUCGUAGGCGGCCAACUAAGUCGGAUGUGAAAUCCCCAGGCUUAACCUGGGAACUGCAUCCGAUACUGGAUGGCUUGAAUCCGGGAGAGGGAUGCGGAAUUCCAGGUGUAGCGGUGAAAUGCGUAGAUAUCUGGAGGAACACCGGUGGCGAAGGCGGCGCUCUGGACCGAGACUGACGCUGAGGCGCGAAAGCGUGGGGAGCAAACAGG